UACCAGGUGUCCGCCCGGUGUCCUGUGUCGAAAUUAUUGCGUAAUCUUUAGGUCCAUGCGCCGUUCCAUUUCUUCAGAAGAGAAAGUCAACUGCCACGAUGGAUUUAUCGUCGAUAGAUAUGUGAAAAACACCUUGAGGAUUGAUUCUAAACAUCGGUUUGCCAUGUUUCUGUCGAUAUUAUGGAGUUAAUUUGGAAAAAAGUUUGCAUUUUAAUGACUUAAUUUUAGUUUUUUUUCUUACCCAAACGUGAUGAAGAAAACGGAGCGAUUUGUCAACACAAAUAAUCUUUUUGUAAAAACUGAACAUUUGCUAUCUAACUGAGUCUCCUCAUUGAAAACAUCUGAAGUUCUUCAAAGGAAAAACUGAACAUUUGCUAUCUAACUGAGAGUCUCCUCAUUGAAAACAUCCUAAGUUCUUCAAAGAGGACCUGAGCCCUAGGACCGUGCCCCAGGACUACCUGACAUGAUGACUCCUUGUUGUCCCCAGUCCACCUGACCGUGCUGCUGCUCCAGUUUCAACUGUUCUGCCUUAUUAUUAUUCGACCAUGCUGGUCAUUUAUGAACAUUUGAACGUCUUGGCCAUGUUCUGUUAUAAUCUCUACCCGGCACAGCCAGCAGAGGACUGGCCACCCCACAUGGCCUGGUUCCUCUCUAGGUUUCUUCCUAGGUUUUGGCCUUUUGGCCACCGUGCUUCUACACUUGCAUUGCUUGCUGUUUGGGGUUUUAGGCUGGGUUUCUGUACAGCACUUUGAGAUAUCAGCUGAUGUACGAAGGGCAAU
ensembl:lncRNA